GAUGAACGCUGGCGGCGUGCCUAAUACAUGCAAGUCGAGCGAACAGAUAAGGAGCUUGCUCCUUUGACGUUAGCGGCGGACGGGUGAGUAACACGUGGGUAACCUACCUAUAAGACUGGGAUAACUUCGGGAAACCGGAGCUAAUACCGGAUAACAUUUGGAUCCGCAUGGUUCUAAAGUGAAAGAUGGUUUUGCUAUCACUUAUAGAUGGACCCGCGCUGUAUUAGCUAGUUGGUAAGGUAACGGCUUACCAAGGCAACGAUACGUAGCCGACCUGAGAGGGUGAUCGGCCACACUGGAACUGAGACACGGUCCAGACUCCUACGGGAGGCAGCAGUAGGGAAUCUUCCGCAAUGGGCGAAAGCCUGACGGAGCAACGCCGCGUGAGUGAUGAAGGGUUUCGGCUCGUAAAACUCUGUUAUUAGGGAAGAACAAAUGUGUAAGUAACUGUGCACGUCUUGACGGUACCUAAUCAGAAAGCCACGGCUAACUACGUG
rnacentral:rRNA from 1 species